GAACUUGUAGUUCUGGAAUAUCUAACUCAGAUCAAUGGUGGUAUAAAAAGCUUGCACAAGGAAAGUAAAAUCUAAUGUUUGAUGACUUCACUGUUUUUACUGGCAUAGCAAGGAAAAUGACAAUGAAGAAAGCUCUGUGUACUUUAGAAUCAAAAUCCCAUUUUUGCAUUGACUAGCUGUCUGACCCCUUGGAAAAGUUACUGAAUUUCCCUGAGUCUUUUUUUUUUUUUUUUGCUUCUAAAACAUGUAAAUAACUAAUCAUAUCUUAUUUGCAGACCUGUUGAACUUUGAAAGAUUCUUUACAUUAUACGUGUAAAGAAUCUAGCAGUGACUUCUACUCUGUAGGUACUGAAUAAAAGUUAGAAUUUUAAAUUUUGAGUACUGUUAAUAUGGAUGAAGGAUGAGAUAACUGGCCCCUCUGUUUGUCAUUUUUGUGCCUUUGGACACCAGGGUUUUAAUUAUGUUAUGCAAGCACUUGGGCUGCUUAGAGGCUUAGUAGGAAGGUGAAACUGAUACUGUUCUCUGCUUUUUCUUUUAAGCUACAUGGAAGGGAAAACCUCCCAGUACUACUUUCACCUGUUGGUCCUUCAUUAGAAAGAAACCAAGAUUUAAUUUCCUCUCCCAGAAACCAGACUGAUGGAGAAGUUUGUGUUUUUAUUUCCCUUCUGGUUUGUUUCUAUUUUCUUUCUGAAGUUUAAAGAUAUUUGAAGCUCUUAUCUUUGGCCCCAUUGCAUGAUCAUUUUUAAAAACCUUCCUGUAGGAAGAAGGAAUUUUAUAGCAACUAACAAUUUUUUAAGCAAUGUUUUAGACUGAACCAAAAGUUUCAUUAUGUCUGUGGUAAAAGUAGGAAAUGCAC
rnacentral:lncRNA from 1 species